rfam:Loxodonta africana unplaced genomic scaffold scaffold_21, whole genome shotgun sequence.
ACACAAUCUUAAAAUCUUUUCAUCUUGGAAAAUUCUCUACAAGUAUUUCUUUUCUUUUGCUUUUUUAAAAAACCCUAUAAAAGAUAAUGGAAUCUUUUUUAUAGACUGGAUUUUAUCUUGUUCCCCUUCCCUCUCCCGGCUGCACUCAGUUUAAUAGUUGACAGUUUUUCUCAGUGGUAGAUUUAAUUACGUAGGACCUAAAUAUUCCCGCAGUACAUUAGCCUGCAAAUAUUCUGUCAUUUUUGUGAUUCCCUCCUUGAGAAAUAGCUUAAUUACAGAAAUGUAUCU